GACGAACGCUGGCGGCGCGCUUAACACAUGCAAGUCGAACGGAAAGGCCUGCUUUCCCUUGUGGAUUGCGGGUACUCGAGUGGCGAACGGGUGAGUAACACGUGGGUGAUCUGCCCCCAACUUGGGUAUAAGCCUGGGAAACUGGGUCUAAUUCCCGAUAGGACUGCAGGGUGGUGCCUGUGGUGGAAAACGAUUUUCUAGUGGUUGGGGAUGAGCUCGCGGCCUAUCAGCUUGUUGGUGGGGUAAUGGCCUACCAAGGCGGCGACGGGUAGCCGGCCUGAGAGGGUGGACGGCCACAUUGGGACUGGGAUACGGCCCAGACUCCUACGGGAGGCAGCAGUGGGGAAUAUUGCACAAUGGGCGGAAGCCUGAUGCAGCGACGCCGCGUGGGGGAUGACGGCCUUCGGGUUGUAAACUCCUUUCGACCGCGAGGAAGCCACCUGGUUGGAAGGGUGGUGACGGUAGUGGUAGAAGAAGCACCGGCUAACUACGUG
rnacentral:rRNA from 1 species